rnacentral:rRNA from 1 species
UACGGAGGGAGCUAGCGUUAUUCGGAAUUACUGGGCGUAAAGCGCACGUAGGCGGCUUUGUAAGUAAGAGGUGAAAGCCUGGUGCUCAACACCAGAACUGCCUUUUAGACUGCAUCGCUUGAAUCCAGGAGAGGUGAGUGGAAUUCCGAGUGUAGAGGUGAAAUUCGUAGAUAUUCGGAAGAACACCAGUGGCGAAGGCGGCUGACUGGACAUGUAUUGACGCUGAGGUGCGAAAGCGUGGGGAGCAAACAGG